rnacentral:misc_RNA from 1 species
CAAGGGACGGCCUUUCCUACCCAUUUCUCUCUAGUCUCCUCCUUGUUUUUGGAUCCAUUCUCCUCUGCUGUGUGGCCGUUGCCCAUUACAAAAAUCUACCCACUAGUCUAAUUAACACGGGGGAACACUGCUCUUUUUACCCAUCUCCUAUCGGCUACCUCCCUCCUGGCCGUAGAUAUAGCGUUUUUUUUUUACACAAUAAAUUGUAUCUUGUCUCAGUCUUCAGCUUCUGGCAUAGAUAUACAGAGAGGAGGAACGGAGCUGUAGAUUCAAAAACUUCAUCAUGAUCAAACGGACACCAAGUAGAAACGCUAGAACCAGAGGCUUCAAGGUAAAGAAUGUUCUGCAGAUUUGUUUAUUGCUUGGUGUCUGUUUCUGGUUGAUCUACCAAGUCAAGCAUUCCCAUGAUAAGAAAAAGGAGUUUGAUGAGAAAGAGUCAAAAAUCUCUGUCAAAACUCAAAGUGGUGAUGGGAUUUCAAACUUGGGAAGGAAAGGCCUGCAUCCUCGCGUCCCGGAGUUACCUAAGGAUGAGAAACAUGAAGAAGAUGAUGAUGAAGGCACUAUAUUAGAGGAGGAAGUGAAUAAGAUGGAAGAAUAUAAGCGUGAACAAAAGCAAGUGGAAGAUGAAACUAAGCAUGAAGAAGAAGAAGAGCGAGAAGAAGAAGGAACUAAGCAUGAAGAAGAAGAGCGAGAAGAAGGCAGCAAGCAUGAAGAGGAAGAGAGAGAAGAAGAGGAAGAAGGAAGCAAGCAUGACAUGGAAGAGAGAGAAGAAGAAAGAAACAAGCUUGAAGAUGAGGAACAAGAAGAAGAAACCAAGAAUGAUGAGACAGAAGAUGAGAGGAGAGGAGGUGGCGCUGAUGAGAUAGAUGAACGUGAUCAAGAGAAAAUAGGAGAAGCUGAUCUUGAGGAGGAUUUUGUUGAUGAAGGGAAAGAGAGAGAGGAAGAAGGGGAGGAAAAGGAAAGUGGACAUGACGAAGCAGGAGAUAAGGAGGCUCAAGUGGAUGAUGAAACUUCAAUGGAGGAUCAAGAUCAUGAUGAAGGCGUGCAGAAUGAUCAUGAGGCUCGAGAAGAACAUUACAAGGCAGAUGAUGCUUCCAGUGCUGUUCAUGAUACCCAAACUAUAAGCACUGAACCUGAGAAAGUGAGUUCAGAGAACUUGGAAGCAAAUGAUUUAGAGCUGGAGAAGAAUUCCAACAACAAUAACACCAACGAUGUCAAUGGGGAUAAAAAAAACUCAAAAUCACAGCUUGGAGAAGGUGUAACGGCUGAGAAUGACUCUCAACUGAAUAUGAAAGGUGGUGAAAAGAUGGAUGAUGAGAUCAUCAACACCGAGGAUCAGUCAACCAAAAAUGCAACCAUUGUUCCUGUUUCAAAUGGCCAACCAGAGCUAAGCAAUAAUUCCAUGGAUGUAAAUACAGAAGCUGGCAAUGAGACUUCUAGUUCAUCCCAGCAUAAUGAAAUAGGAGUUACAUCUGAUUCAAAUCAAGCUCAAAAUGCAAAAAUUGCAACUGAGGAAGCAUCUAACCUGAAAACCACUGAAUUGGAACAGGUCAAUAGCAACACAAUUGCAGAUAGCGGAGAAACUGAUUCUAAUUCUUCUGUCCCUGAUAAAACUGAGAAUAUUGACAACAGUGCUAAAGAUUCAAAUUCAUCUACUAAUUCAGAGCCCAGUGGAUCAGAUAAGUUGAUUAAAAAUGAAGUUAAAGCUGAAGCAGAGGUCAAGCCUGAUGGAUCAGAUAAGGUCACUAAACCUGAAGUUAAAGCUGACGCUGAGGUCAAUUCUGGGUCAUCUUCAACAACGAAGGAGACAGCAGAUACGGCCAUGGAUGGGAACUCAGAUGCGAAGAAUGAAUUAGGUGGAACAGAAAAAAACAAAGGCUCUUCUGCAACAGAUGGGACUGAAGCUGUUUUUCAUGACCACAUUGAUUCUUCUGAUUCUUCAGUUGGCCAAGAAGAGGCCCGCAUAAAUCUGGAUACGCUGCCAGAGAAUAGCGGAGAUGGCAUUAAUAGCCGAGAUGUGGCUGCAGAAUGAGAAUUGUUACGAAAUGCCUCGUGAGUGACCUAAGUGUCUAGUUACUUGUUCGCUCUGUUUUGUUAAACACAGAGAGUUUUGGGUUUUUCAGGCAACUUUGAAAUAUGAUCUUAGGAAUACAGUUUUGGGCUUUUGGCAUUGCAGGCAAAUGUAGGUAGUUUGAUGCUAUUAAUGGUUGUAUCUGAGUAUAAUUUAUGGCAUACUUCUGUUGAUAUCCUUUUCUAACAUCUUUCUUUUUAGGUAUUUUUCUGAUGUUGGUUGGCUUGUUUAUUCGUCACCAAAACCAUGAAGUUUUAGUCCAAUUAUUAUUUGAUGCUGAACUCUUUCAAUUGGAAUGAUUUGUGUUCGAU